rnacentral:rRNA from 1 species
GCCGGGGUUUCUUUACCAGGUACUGUCAUUAUCAUCCCUGGCGAAAGAGCUUUACGACCCUAGGGCCUUCAUCACUCACGCGGCAUGGCUAGAUCAGGCUUGCGCCCAUUGUCUAAGAUUCCCC